UCAGGCCUGCACCAGAUGCCCCUUGUUCUUUUGUGCAGGGGAUGAUCUCUCUUCUCAGCCACGCUGCUGAGGGCAACUUCCAGCCAGUCUUGGACACACUCACCAUCUUUGCGUCCAGGCUGUGCAAAGGCCGGCACGCGAGGAGGUCCGCACGCAAGAAGAUGGAGCUGAACAGCGCAAGAGCCCAAGCCACACGCAGUGCUCUCAUGCUCGCCCAUGGCCGCUUGGCACUGCGUGCCUCCAAGGAGCAACUGCUCGCCCGCCUGGAGGGAGACAUCGUGGGCAACAUCCUGCUGCUCUACAGCUGCAGCUGCCGGGACUUGCAGAACAAGCUCGCGCUGGUGCAGAGCAUCACCGACCUCAGCUCUGCCUUCCAAGCUGUGGGUGACUCCGGCCGCUUUAAGCCCUCCUUGAAGGGCAAGCUGCUGGAGAUCCUGAUGGUGAGUGCCUAGAGCCAGGGCCGUCUGCAGGGGAGUUUGGGGCGGUGCCAUGAGGCUCGCUUCCCUGGAGGCAUACAGGUCUCCCUCAGCCACCCGUCUCCAGCCUGUGGGGACCUUGGGUGCUGGCAGGCAG
rnacentral:lncRNA from 1 species